GAUGAACGCUGGCGGCGUGCUUAACACAUGCAAGUCGAGCGAAGCAUAGAUGUGGAAGUUUUCGGAUGGAAGCGUGUAUGACUGAGCGGCGGACGGGUGAGUAACGCGUGGGUAACCUGCCUCAUACAGGGGGAUAACAGUUAGAAAUGACUGCUAAUACCGCAUAAGCGCACAGGACCGCAUGGUCCGGUGUGAAAAACUCCGGUGGUAUGAGAUGGACCCGCGUCUGAUUAGCUGGUUGGUGAGGUAACGGCCCACCAAGGCGACGAUCAGUAGCCGACCUGAGAGGGUGGCCGGCCACAUUGGGACUGAGACACGGCCCAA
rnacentral:rRNA from 1 species